UCAAUAAGCGGCAGNAAAAGAAACCAACAGGGAUUGCCUCAGUAACGGCGAGUGAAGCGGCAACAGCUCAAAUUUGAAAUCUGACCCCUUCGGGGCCCGAGUUGUAAUUUGUAGAGGAUGCUUCGGGUGCGGCGCCGGUCUAAGUUCCUUGGAACAGGACGUCAUAGAGGGUGAGAAUCCCGUAUGCGACCGGCGGCCAACCCCGUGUGAAGCCCCUUCGACGAGUCGAGUUGUUUGGGAAUGCAGCUCAAAAUGGGUGGUAAAUUUCAUCUAAAGCUAAAUACCGGCCAGAGACCGAUAGCGCACAAGUAGAGUGAUCGAAAGAUGAAAAGCACUUUGGAAAGAGAGUCAAACAGUACGUGAAAUUGUUGAAAGGGAAGCGCUUGCAACCAGACCUGCCCGCGGGCGAUCAGCCGUUAUUCUUAGCGGUGCACUCGUCCGCGAUCAGGCCAGCAUCGGUUCGAGCGGCCGGAUAAAGGCCUCGGGAAUGUAGCUCCCCCCGGGGAGUCUUAUAGCCCGGGGUGCAAUGCGGCCAGCCCGGACCGAGGACCGCGCUUCGGCUAGGAUGCUGGCGUAAUGGUUGUAAGCGACCCGUCUUGAAACACGGACCAAGGAGUCUAACAUCUAUGCGAGUGUUUGGGUGUCAAACCAUGCGCGGAAUGAAAGUGAACGGAGGUGGAACCCGCGAGGGCGC
rnacentral:rRNA from 1 species